GGGUUGUGAGGUUAAGCGACUAAGCGUACACGGUGGAUGCCCUGGCAGUCAGAGGCGAUGAAGGACGUGCUAAUCUGCGAUAAGCGUCGGUAAGGUGAUAUGAACCGUUAUAACCGGCGAUUUCCGAAUGGGGAAACCCAGUGUGAUUCGUCACACUAUCAUUAACUGAAUCCAUAGGUUAAUGAGGCGAACCGGGGGAACUGAAACAUCUAAGUACCCCGAGGAAAAGAAAUCAACCGAGAUUCCCCCAGUAGCGGCGAGCGAACGGGGAGCAGUCCAGAGCCUGAAUCAGUGUGUGUGUUAGUGGAAGCGUCUGGAAAGGCGCGCGAUACAGGGUGACAGCCCCGUACACAAAAAUGCACA
rnacentral:rRNA from 1 species